AUGGCCAACAGAUCAAAGUGUAUGUCGGUCGAGCCGCCACGUCACCAAGGACAUGCAACUAGCACUGCGUCCACCACGCUGCCACUACCAGCACACACAUCGUUAGAGGAUGCCACCGUGCCUAAAGAACAAUGUCCAUGGCUACCCGCCACCGCACCACCCAGCCUACCCGUGCUGCACCAACACGACAAGCGGGGGAAGGUAACGGAGCAUGAUCUAUCGAGAUGCAUAUGGAUGACACGUGGUUUUAGCGAGUUUGGGCCUCUCACGGUGGAGAUAACAACCCCACGUCUCGUGCUCCGGAGAGACUUUGUUAUAUCUGAGUAUGUAUCCGAAGAUUACAAUGUUUGUUUGAGAGAGAGCGGGGAGAGCGGAUCUUCAUGCUUGAGCUAUGUCCUGAGACUAGAGAGAGAGAGGUGGAAGAAAAAAGAGCGUGCCCCAAGUCUAGUGGGGUAUUUGUCCGAGUGGACGUGCUUCCCAACUGAUCGGGAGGUAAAGACAUGUCCAACUGAUGGUGACGCGCGAGGUGGCCGAGAGGCGAUGUGCACAACCGAGUGGCGACGCGCGGGGCCGCCGAGUGAGGAUGCGCGAGGUGGCCGAGUGAAGAACUACGUGUCCAGCCAAGUGGUGACGCGCGGAGCGGCCGUGUGGCGAAGGCAUGCACAACCGAGAGGCGACGCGUGGAGCGGCCAAGUGCCAAGUGGUGACGCGCGGAGCGGCCGUGUGGUGAAGGCAUGCACAACCGAGAGGCGAUGCGCGGAGCGGCCGAGUGGUGAAGGCAUGCACAACCGAGAGGCGACACGCGGAGCGGCCAAGUGUGACGAGUUCGGUGUAGUGUGGUUGCGACGCAACAAGACCGGCAUGACAACUGAGUCUGGGUGUAGAAAUGAAGAUGACACCCGCUGGGAGUGCAAAAGGGGCUUGCUGGUUAACCAGCAAGAGUCUGAAAGAGUGAAGGAUCCGUUCGAACUUGUCGAAGCGACGGAUCCGACUGAACUCAUUGGAAUACUAGCUCAAAUAAAACGGAACUGUCUGAAGGGGCGCGAGUGGCCGAGUGGUGGUGAGGCGACCAACCAAGUGGCGACGCGCGGGGCGGCCGAGUGGUGCCCUUCCACGUCAGCCAAAUCACAUCUGGAGGGGAGAGAAAGAGGGAGAGAGAAGCGAACGGGCGCUUCGUCAAGCGCCGGGCUGUGGCACAAGAUACGAGAGCUUUGCGCCCGCUUGCAGCCCGUGGCGAGCGCUAGAGCCGGCGCUCUCGAUCCCCUGCGCCUCUCCCGCCUCCCGCGCUUCUCCUUCCUCCUUCGCGCGCAAAAAUCAGCCCGUGCCGUCGCCCCAAAUAGCUUCCUUGUGCCAAAUCAAGCCUUCCAAAUUUCCCCAAAUCGCCACCUCUCCCGAACCCUAGAACUGUCGCCGGCGCACAUCAAGGAGAUGGGUCAGCAGUCCAAACGGACGCGCGCGCCGGCACCUCGUGAAGCCCCUCCACCAGCGCCUCUGCUCACCUCGCCGCCAGCGCAUCUCCUGGUCCCGCCGCCGGCGCAUCUACUGGUCUCGCCGGCGCCUAAGUCUGCCCCGCCGCCGGGGAUCCCAUCGGCCUUCCCUUCAAAGCAGAGAACAAGCACUUGGAUCCCCCCAAGACCACAAGAGUCUCUGGCGGCUAGUCUACAGCAACCAAGUGAAUCGGGUCCUACGGCUCAAGGUCCUUGUUGGGCACCGCCUGCCUGCAUCGGUGGCUCUACAUCACCUUGGUACAUGGCUGGCAAUAUGGACUACUCUGAUCCACAAGUAUGUCAGUCUUCCUAUUUCCUGGUUGCAUGGAUGGCAUGUAUAUCUCAUCUCUUUCUCCGCUGGUGUACACAUCUAGCCGUCAUUGAUGAGCAAGGAACCCAGACUCGAAGCAUCACCGGUCUUGGCCGCCCCCGGCGCCGGUCACCGCCCUCGCUACCGGUUGCCGCCCUCGCCGCCGGUGGCGACCCGUGUUUCAUGCUGGCUCGGCGCAUGCAGCAGCGUCUUUCUAGACCACCCGUUGCAACAUCACGGGGGUGUCUCCCAUGGUGCUCCCAGCUCGCCGUCUGCCUCGAGCUUUGUUGCUCGAAACAGCGCCGCCGUCCUUGCAGCUCGCCGUCCUCGCAGCUCACCAUCCAUGAUGGCAGCUCUCCUGGGCACCGGUUGCAGCAGGAAACGACGCGGUUCCAGCUUCCGCCGAGGCCGGUGAGCGAGGACGGCGAACGGCGACGAGGACGGCCGGUGCGGGUGGCCACCGGCGAUGAGGACGGCCGGCGAGGACGGCCAACUGAGGCAGGGACCGGCGAGAUGAAAGAGAGAGAGGAAGCAGCGCAGCCGCGUGGGGCAUUUAAAUGGCGAGCGAUUGGUCGGCCCUGUCAGCCUCGUGUCCCCUCCACGCGGAAAGGCUGGCCAUACGAUGGGAGGGGAUCGCACGGGUCGCGCGCGACCGGCCGAGUAGUUCGGCCGGCACCCCAGCCUCAAACGUUUCCCAUUUAUCUCCUGCAUGCAGGACAUAAAUGGGAAGGAAUUAAGAGUAGGAGGAAAGUGGAAGGCGAGGCGCAAAGAGCUCCUUGGUCAGCCACGGCGGUGGCGGCUUUGGCAUGGGUCCACCGUGAGGUGAGACAGUCCGCGACAAAUCGGAGUGCGGGGUGGCGUUCUUCUGCGAGGCGGCGGCGAGUCGACCUGGUGGCUCCCAUCCCGUUGUGGUCGAGGACGUGGAUGGCAUCGGUCGUGGGUGCUGCGUCAGGUCCGUGCAACGACCGUGGUGGUCGCCGCCGGGCGGUUGACGAGGGAUGCUGCUGCAACGCGGUGUUAGGCCGUCGCGGUCUUGCGGAGACAAGGUGGCUGCUGCAGCGCCAGGCCUGCGCGCACGUCGCAACGACCACAGCCGAGCGCCCGCACCGCCGAGGGACUGCCAAGCGCUUGCGAUCGCUGCAGUUGGCUGACAGUGGGCCGAGGUCGACGGAGAAGAGGAAGCAGGAGGCGCGAACCACCGCGCUGGCGGCCGUGCGCGAGGACAAUGGCGACGACCCUUGGCGCAGCACGUCGAUGCCCUUUUCCCUUCCCCAUCUCUUGUCUGAUUUAUUCAUCGCAAGAUUUCGUUGUUGA
rnacentral:rRNA from 1 species